rnacentral:lncRNA from 1 species
GGAAGAAAACUGUGGUAGUAUUAAUGGAAUAUAUAUUGAAAUUCAUCAUAUAUUUGGGUCAUAUUCAAUGUGAAAUUGGGAUAAACAUAUUGAAACAACCAUUAAAACAAUAAGUAAAAUCGAUGAGAUAGCAUCUAUGUCUAGGGUCUUUGACUUGAGAUCACCGGCUGCAAAAUGUUCAAAUACAUGAGUAAAGAUCCAACUACAAAUCUUCACUAAAAAGGCAAGAGAUUAGAGAUUUUGUUCAUAUAAAAUGCACCAAAAUGUCCAAAUACACGAGUAAAAAUCCGACUACAAAAUUCACUAAAAAGGAAAAAAUAUUUUUCAAAAGGAAACCAAAUAAAAUCUUUAUCCCAAUUGAUUAUUCUUCAAAAAAAUUCUUUUUGACUGUCAACCAAAAAAGUCAAAGCUGAACAAAACAAAAUUUCCGCAUCCAUGUGGCUUCUAACAAAGGGAAACAAAAGUGAUCUCAAGUUUCAAAAAAAAAAAUUCUUCUUUUUGUUAGUGUUGUACUAUAACAACAUUGUAAUGUAUAAAAGUCAAAUAAUAUCUAAGCUAGCGAUAUACUUUUCGAAAUCAUAUUAGGUACUCCCUGUUUGAUUGUAUGUUAAAUGCUUUCAACUAGCCCAAGCAAACAAGUUGAUGCAGCAAGUGAAGUUCGCCUUUCUUUUUUAGAUGCCCUCUUUAUGAUAUUUUGCAUUAGAACAUGUUGUCAACUCAAAUGGAUUGCAAAUGCACUAACUAAACACUUUAACCAAAUCUUUACUUGACUAAUACAUACAUUCUUCAUGGAUCCCCCACUUCUCAACCAACUGUCAUCCUAAAAUCUACAUGAAUGUGGAGAGUUUGAACAUUUAAACUGCAAUUCUAGUUGGAUGAACAUGUAGUCCAACUUUAUAAAUAGCAAUGUUAUCCUGGCAAAUUGCAAAGAAUCAAUUGAUUCCUAGGUUUCUUUGGAAAAGUAAUGAAAGAGAUGGAAAACAGAAAUGGUGCACAAGAAGCUUCCAAGGGAAAGGCCAACCCUGGAAAAGCUACGAUUUUGGCUCUUGGGAAAGCAUUCCCUCCUCAACUUGUCCUUCAAGACUACCUAGUCGACGGCUAUUUCAAGGACACAAGCUGCGAUGAUAUUGAUCUCAAGCAGAAACUCACUCGACUAUGUAAUUUUAAUCUUUCACUCUUUCUUCUUUUUUUUGGAAAUAUCUCAUACUUCAUUGAUCUGAAAGAACUGAAUGGAACUUCUAAGAUGGUUUUAAAAAAAAUUUACAAGUGCAUUAGAGUACUACUUCUCCUUUUUAACUGAAUUAAUCGUCAUCCUCUAAUAGUGUAAAUCCUUUAACAGGCAAGACAACAACAGUAAAAACUAGAUACGUGGUGAUGUCAGAAGAGAUCUUGAAGAAGUACCCAGAGCUAGCAAAGGAAGGUCAACCGACCAUAAAGCAGAGACUGGAGAUUUGCAACAAAGCUGUGACAGAAAUGGCCAUUGAAGCUUCACAAGCUGCCAUUAACAACUGGGGAAGGCCAGCUUCAGACAUUACCCACUUAGUCUAUGUUUCUUCAAGUGAAGCUCGCUUGCCUGGUGGUGAUCUCUUCCUAGCAAGGGGCCUUGGACUCAGCCCUCAAACCCAACGAGUCAUGCUUUACUUCACGGGUUGCUCGGGAGGCGUGGCAGGCCUUAGAGUCGCAAAAGACUUAGCUGAAAACAACCCAGGAAGCCGAGUCCUGCUUGUCACCUCUGAAACCACCAUUAUCGGGUAACUCUUUUAAUCACCUCCUAAAGCUCAUACAUGCUGUUCUCAGAAUUUUAAACAUAAACACCAAUUUCUUUACAGCUUCAAGCCACCGAGUGUAAAUCGUCCAUACGAUCUCGUAGGCGUGGCACUAUUUGGGGAUGGUGCAGGGGCGAUGGUAAUUGGGAGAGACCCUUUUUUGGGCAUUGAACGACCACUCUUUGAACUCCACACAACAACCCAGAAAUUCAUUCCAGAUACUCAGAACAUAAUCGAUGGGAAACUGUCGGAGGAAGGUAUUAGUUUCACAAUAACAAGAGAACUUCCUCAGAUAAUUGAAGACAACAUCGAAAGUUUCUGUGAGACAUUUCUUCAAACACUUGGGUUACAUGAGAAAGAAUACAACAAAAUAUUCUGGGCAGUACAUCCAGGUGGGCCAGCGAUAUUGAACAGGUUGGAGAAGAGGCUAGAACUGUUACCUGAGAAGCUGACAGCGAGCCGACGAGCUCUGAUGGACUAUGGAAAUGCGAGUAGUAACACGAUCGUGUACGUAUUGGAAUACAUGAUGGAAGAAAGCUUGAAAAUGAAGAUGGAAGGUAGGAAAAUUGAGGAAUGGGGAUUGAUUCUGGCGUUUGGACCUGGGAUUUCAUUUGAAGGGAUUCUGGCGAGGAAUCUUGCCGUAUGAGAAAAAUGAUAGAGUUGAUGCUUACUAUGAAUAUGAAAUUUUCAAUUUCUAUUGUGUGUUAGUUUUUAGAAAUGUUGAAUGGAAUGAUUUGUUUUGGUCUCUACGUUGUUAUCAUCCACCAAGCUUUUUGUAUAUUAUAAUUAGGAUAAUUAUAAAUAACAAUUUUAAGAAUAAUGAUAACAAAAUCUAUUGGUAAUAACUUCCCACAAUUUUUUUUAAAUAUAACAAUCUUAAUUAUUCCUUUAAUUUUAAAAUAUUAAGUCUAUAGAAUAAAACUAAACAACUCAUUUUAGCACUAUACAUCAAUUUUCAAAAAGUUAUAUAGUUAGUCACUAAUGUUGUAAUUUUAUCUUUGUUUCAAUUUAAUUCUUAGUUUCGAUUUUCAUUAAAUACCAAUUAAUAGACAUUAAUGUCUAUUAAUUGAUUUAAAAUAGUUGUGAAGUGAUGAUUGAAAUUUAGUUUUAAUAGUGAUACAUAAAUAAUCAAACUUAAUUAAUCAUACUCUUUUAGGAUGGAAGGUGAGUAUUUAGCUGAUGUUAAACCUUAAAAUGUAAAUCUUGAAAAAUCAAAACAAAAACAAAAAAAUGACUAAAUUUAAACCAAACUUAGAAACUAAAUAAAAAUUAGAUUUAAAGCUUAAAGACCAUAAUAAAACAAAAGUCAAUAAAAUUGUAACGGAUUAAAUUAAAAACAAACUCAAAAUAAAAGUCUUGAAUAUUUAAUAUUUUGAAAAAUGUGGACCAAAUAAAAAGUUAACAGAGGUGUAAAAAAGGAAAAAAAAUAUUUAUUCAACUCCGAACCAUUAAUUUUAUCAAUUUAGACCUUGUAUUUUUACAAAAACAUAAAUAUAAACUUCAAAUUUUAAUUUAAGUUUUAAAUUGAUACAUUGAAGCAAUAAUUAAUUUAAGAUUUAAAUUUAUACAACAUACAAAGUUUUAUAAUAUAAAUAUUUGUAUAUGGAAAAAAAAAACCAAAAACUUAUUGGUGGAAAAGGAAUUAUAAUUUUAGGAAAAGCAAUUCCCGAAGACGCAAACUCUCACAUGUGAAAGUGAAACAAACAAACAAAGUUGGAAAGUUCGUAGAUAUUGAAACUUUGAUUCCUUGACAAACCACUUAUAUUAAAUUUCUUGGAAAAGCACUGCCCAAUCCAAAACUACUUUUCCAAACGGAAAGACGACAACCAAUGAUUAACAAUUCCAUAAUAUACAAUCUUUUGUAUCAUAAAUUAUGAAGACCAAGACGUAGACUCAGAGCCAAAAGAGCAGAGAACCAUAAUCGGAGCUAAGGGAAAAAGAUGGCUCACCUGAAGCUUGAAGGCGCCAUUAAUUUGAAGGAAGAUCUCAUCGCAACCGCUUGCUCUGCCGCCAUUAAAGCUCACAAGCAUCCUGAGAAGCCAUUUCUUCUUGAUAAAACUAGAGAUUCCUCCAUCAUUAGCUUCGCCGGAUCUUCG